UACGUAGGUGGCAAGCGUUUGUCCGGAUUUACUGGGCGUAAAGAGCGCGCAGGCGGUCGUCCAAGUCGCGUGUGAAAGCCCCCCGGCUCAACUGGGGGAGGGUCACGCGAUACUGGUCGACUCGAAGGCAGGAGAGGGUAGUGGAAUUCCCGGUGUAGUGGUGGAAUGCGUAGAGAUCGGGAGGAACACCAGUGGCGAAAGCGGCUCUCUGGUCCAAAACUGACGCUGAGGGGCGAAAGCGUGGGGAGCGAACGGG
rnacentral:rRNA from 1 species